GAAUCAAAGUAAUCAACAACAAAUAAUAGUAACUUGAAAUUACAAUCACUAAUUAAUUAAUUAAUAUAUAUUUAUAUUCAAAUCUGAAUCGUUUUUAACCUAAUAAUAACGAGAAUCUCAAAGGAGGACAAGUAUGCAGAGAAUUGAUUAGUGAUCGAUAUUGUAAAGAGCACCUAAACCCAGUUACAAAAACUCAAAAAUAACAUCAUCAAGCAUCAUUCUUGGACAAAAACUCAUCAAAAGAAAGAUCCCUAAAAAGAAAAAAACAAGAAUUAUAUUAGUACUUACAAAAUUAAGCACUUGUUUCUUUCAUCUAUUUUCUUGUUUGCUUUGCCUGGCUUCACCCUGUGUGCCAAAAUAUAUAUACACCUUUAAGCAUGGGCCACAAAAAGUGGAGAGAAAGAGGGAGGGAGAGAGAGAGCUCAGAUAAUAUUAAUAGAUCGAGAUCACACGCCACUGUAAGCUCUGCCAAACUUGGAGGUGUCGGUGCCACCCCACCACCAAGUUUGGCAGAGGAAAGAAGAAGAAAGAAAUGGCCCGAGGAUCAUGUCGAAAACUGAGAGGUUUUGAGUCUCUUUAUGCAUAUUCAGGUUACCCAUAUUCACUGUUUUUAGUGGCCCUUCCCUACUCUUUGUUUCAG
rnacentral:misc_RNA from 1 species